rnacentral:rRNA from 1 species
AGUCGUUCUGCCCAUUGAUUUUUAAAGGCUGCGGUAUAUUAACUGUACAAAGGUAGCAAAAUAAAUAGUUUUUUAAUUGAAAACUUGAAUGAAAGAGUUAAUAAGAUAUAAAUUGUCUUAAUUAUAUAAUUUAAAUUAAAAGUAAAAAUGCUUUUAUUUUUUUAUAAGACGAUAAGACCCUAAGAAUUUUAUAAUUUUUAUUAUUUUAGUUAUUUGAAUAAAUAAUGAUUAUUUUAUUGGGAGGGUAAUUAAAUAACUUUAAUUAAAUUAAAUAUUUAUAAAUAAAUUUAAUGAUUAAUAUUAUAAUUAUAAGAAUUAAUUACCUUAGGGAUAACAGGGUAAUAAUUUUGGAGAGUUCAUAUUGAUAAAAUUGUUUACUACCUCGAUGUUGAAUUAAAAUAAAAAUUAAAUGAAGAAAUUUAAUUUUUUAGUCUGUUCGACUAUUAAAAUUUUAC